GACGAACGCUGGCGGCGUGCCUAAUACAUGCAAGUCGAGCGAAGUUUUUCUGGUGCUUGCACCGGAAAAACUUAGCGGCGCACGGGUGAGUAACACGUAAAGAACCUGCCUCAUAGACUGGGACAACUAUUGGAAACGAUAGCUAAUACCGGAUAACAGCAUUAACUGCAUGGUUGAUGUUUAAAAGUUGGUUUUGCUAACACUAUGAGAUGGCUUUGCGGUGCAUUAGCUAGUUGGUGGGGUAAAGGCCUACCAAGGCGACGAUGCAUAGCCGACCUGAGAGGGUGAUCGGCCACACUGGGACUGAGACACGGCCCAGACUCCUACGGGAGGCAGCAGUAGGGAAUCUUCCGCAAAGGGCGAAAGCCUGACGGAGCAACGCCGCGUGAGUGAAGAAGGAUUUCGGUUCGUAAAGCUCUGUUGUUAGGGAAGAAUGAUUGUGUAGUAACUAUACACAGUAGAGACGGUACCUAACCAGAAAGCCACGGCUAACUACGUG
rnacentral:rRNA from 1 species